CCGGCACGGUGAGUAACACGUAUCCAACCUGCCGUCUACUCUUGGACAGCCUUCUGAAAGGAAGAUUAAUACAAGAUGGCAUCAUGAGUCCGCAUGUUCACAUGAUUAAAGGUAUUCCGGUAGACGAUGGGGAUGCGUUCCAUUAGAUAGUAGGCGGGGUAACGGCCCACCUAGUCUUCGAUGGAUAGGGGUUCUGAGAGGAAGGUCCCCCACAUUGGAACUAAGACACGGUCCAA
rnacentral:rRNA from 1 species